ACAGCCCUUAUUCACAAAAGCGCUUUCGUAGGUUUGGUUAAAAACAAAAUAAAAAACACGCUAGAAAAGCGCUCUUAAAGGGGGGGAAAUGAAAGCGCUUUUCAAAAGCGCUCUUAUAGGAGGUGGGUAUGAAAGCGCUUUCCAAAAGCGCUCUUAAAGGGUGGGUUAUGACAGCGCUUUUCAAAAGCGCUCUUAUAGGGGUCUUAUAGGGGGUGGAUAUGAAAGCGCUUUUGAAAGCGCUCUUAAAGGGGGGGGUUACGAAAGCGCUUUUAAAGAGAAAGCGCUGGUAUAGAGUGGCCUAUGAAAGCGCUUCUGAAAAGCGCUCUUGUAGCCCUCAUUAAAAUAAAAUUAAUUAACUAACAGAAUAAAAAUAGGGUUUGUGUUGGUCAAAACACGUUCUUUUCUUCUCCUCAACACAAGAACGACGCCCUUCAUCUUCAACAAAACUGUGGCGGCUUCUCUCUUCCUUUGAUCGUCUUCCUCUUCUUCUCCGAUCAAUCACCGGUGACUUAAACCCUCUUUCGAUUUCGUUCUCUUUGUCUGACGUGAAUCUCCGUUCGUCCGCUUCUUUCUUCACAACAAAUCUAUCACAAUUAUCAUCUUCAGGAAAUUUUCAUCUAAGCUUCAUUGGGUUGUGAAAAACCCAGGGUGUGUUCUUAGGAGAAUUGUUUUUAGUGCUAUGGAAACUGAUGAAUGAGGUUUCUGGAUUACUACUUUUAGGUUUGUGUUUAUGAUUUUGAUGAAGAUGAUGGUUGUUCUGAGUAGCUGGAUUUUCAGUUAUCAUGUUUUUGUUAGUUUCUUGUUGCUGAUUAGUUCUGGUAUAAGCUAUGGGACUGAAACUGAUAUCUUCUGUUUGAAAGCUAUAAAAAAUUCUAUCAAAGAUCCGAAUAAUUCUGUUGUGAUGGAGUGUUUUGUUAUGCAGAUUAAACGAAGAAUUCUUUUCGGAAUUAAAAUCUGAGUUAGGGCAGAUUCUAUUUGCGGUUAACAAAACCCCGGUUGGUUGGUUUCUGAUUUGUGUUUUGUUGGUUAUAUUUUCUGUUGAACAUAUUGUUUUAGUGUUUGGCCUUUUUUGAUGGUUUUUUCAGGCUAUGGAGGAUAAAUUGGCCUUUUCUAAGUGAAUGUGAUAUUUGCGGUUAACACUAAUUACGUUUUUCUAUUGUAGGUUGAGCUUCAAAGUUUACUUCUAAGUUUAAUGUGAAUGUUGUGUAAAUAAUCACGUUUUUCUAUUGUAGGUUGAGCUUCAAACAGUGGAUGGAUUGGUAAAGGAUAGAACACAAUGUGCCCCUUCCGAUUAUGUUCCACAGAAUAUGAAUCAAGUAAUGUACCCCGAAGUCGUCUUCUGUGGCAGGAUCGUUCGGGGUACAGUUAUUUGAUUCAUAUUCUGUGACACAAUACAACAUAGCUCAUGUGACUACUGGUUCUCCACUAAAGCAUCAAUACAACAUAGCUCCAGAUAAUACAGGAAGCGUACAUUGGUUGCAUAAGAACUCGGAAGUUGUUUCCCAUUUAGUUGUUUUGGUUUAGAAAUAUGUGAAUUGGUUUAGUUGUUUUGGUUUAGAAAUAUGUAUAUAUGUAUUUUGAUUUACAUUAAUGGUAUAUAAUAUAAUACUUUUUUUGUAUAUAAUCGAUAUCGAUUAUAAUGGUAUAUAUCGAUUUGAAAUGAUAAAUUAUAGGUUCAUGAAAAAAUACUGCCAAAAAAUAGUAAAUUACAGGUUCUAAAAUAUUGCUGCCAAAAAGUGCAGGUUUAGAAAUAAUAAAAAGCAUAAAAAAAAAAAAAAACGUAACAUACGAAAGCGCUUUUGAAAAAAG